ensembl:lncRNA
AGGAUGGAGGCAGCCGGGAUCCAGCUGUGCCCACCCAGCCCUGCUUGUCCCGCUGCUCGGUCCAAACCAGAAAGCCUUCACGCCGGCCCUGCGCUAGCAAGAAGAGUCGUUUCUGUGGCGGCCAUUUUUUCCCAGCGAGGCUCAUAUAACCAUCAGCAUAGUUCGGAGCCGCGGGCCGCUCUUGUCAGCGAAAUAUUGUCUAACUUGAAACCGGUCCGUGAGGCAAAACAGGUUGGGGACCGCUGGCUUAGAGCUCACCUGUGGAUCAAACCUCCAGCCUCCAGAAACAAUGCUGGGUCCAGGAGCGACGGCUCAACUAACUCUAACCCAAACGGCAACGCACAAAGAGUCACAUCCAAAACAAAAUGCGUGCACAGACACAGACUCUCUCUGCCCCUAAAUUCCCUGCCGUGUGAAGCUCACUCUGAGGAUUUUUGGUACUUGUUUGUCCCAUCGAGUCACCAGAGCAAGUCAUUUUCUGCCGUGGACGCCUGCUUUACCUGAAAGGACAACAGCAAUGCUCAAAAUAUGGUCGACAGAGGACCACACAUGCUUGUGUAUGAGGCCAUAUUGGUGUCUGUUUGUAUGCAUGCGAUGGGAAUCCAUUAUGGCUGACAUACCUGUGGGCCUUUGUGUUAUGAUGUUUC